GAAUAUUGGUCAAUGGGCGAAAGCCUGAACCAGCAACGCCGCGUGAGGGAUGAAGGUCUAAGGAUCGUAAACCUCUGUUGGGAGGGACGAAUAGUUCCGUCGUAAGCGACGGGAUUUGACGGUACCUCCAUAGAAAGCCCCGGCUAACUCCGUGCCGGCAGCCGCGGUAACACGGGGGGGGCAAGCGUUGUCCGGAAUCAUUGGGCGUAAAGGGUGCGUAGGCGGAAUGGUAAGUCAGGAGUGAAAGACUCGCGCUUAACGCGGGUUCUGCUUUUGAUACUGCCAUUCUUGAGUGCGGAAGAGGGAAGUGGAAUUCCCGGUGUAGCGGUGAAAUGCGUAGAUAUCGGGAAGAACACCGGUAGCGAAAGCGGCUUCCUAGUCCGUAACUGACGCUGAGGCACGAAAGCGUGGGUAGCAAACAGG
rnacentral:rRNA from 1 species